UAUAUAUUAUACCUAUAAAUAUAUGGAUUGGAUAGAUAUGAAUGUAAAUAUCUAUAAGAAACAUGCAGCUGCAUGGACAAAAAUCAAAGAUGGGAGUCAGGAAGUCGAUGGAGUUGUGUAACACCUAUCUAGAGUGUCAGGCUUUGAUAAUGACAUGGUUUCUAGUUUUUUGUAAUCUUUAGUCACCAGUGUCAAAGAGUGCUAGUCUCAGGACCCCUCUGGGACAUCUUCCUUUCACAGGGAGUCAGGAGUCAUAUUCCUGUCAGGAUGUUUUGGGUACAGCCCCAGUGGGUGGGUGGAGGGGCUUUUGUCUUUUUCUUCUGCUUCAUAUAUUGUGUUAGAAAUGCCACUGCUGACAGUGUUCUUUCUCGGCAGUUUCCAUGCCACAGAAUGUGCUGAAGUCGUCUGGCAGCUUCCAUGAUGAGGGUAAUCAGGCUGGCAGGCACCAGCCCUCAUGCACCUGCACUUGGCUCCCGCGCAGAGCGGUGGAUGGGUAGAGGGAGGGCUCCACCACAGCGCUUCACCCUGAUCCUCCCUCCCUCCCUCCCUCUCUGCUGGCUCAGGACUGAUUUCUUCCUGCAGAGAAGUGUGCAGCAAGGGACUUGGGCAGACAGGGUGAGAGGCAGAGUCUUUGCUUACCUGGAGGUUGCCUCCUAAUGUACUGGGCUCCUGGGAGUGCAUGAAGGCUUCUUAGAUGAAGAGUAAUGGGAAUGUCUUACACAGCAAGAUGAGAAAACACAGACCACUUGGCUCUCUAGCAAGGACCAGAAUUUGAGUCAAAACUAUAUGGAAGAGAAAAAGACCUGACUCUGUUUGGAAAAUGCAAACAUGGAAGAACUCAGAAACAAUAGGUUUCUAGACUGGCUGGAAGGCUCUUUAGAGGGUCUUGCUCUGUUGCCCACAAUCACAGCUCAAUCAUAGCUCACUGCAGACCGGAACUCCUCAGCGGAAGCAAUCCUCCUGCCUCUCAGCCUCCUGGGUAGCUGGCAGUAUAGGCUCACACCACUACAUCAAGCAAAUUUGUAUGUAUGUAUUGCCUCUCUGAUUUGUUUUCACUCCAAGUUAUGAAAGUCCAUCCCUGAAAUGUGACUGUCGUCCCAGAAAUAACGACACGGAGGAGACACUGAGAACCUGUGCAUAACCUCCUUGGAGUAACUAGAAUCCUGAGGCUGUCCCAUGACUCUUCACUCAUUAUGCUUCCUGAAUGCCAAGAUGCCCUGCAGAAAGACUGUGUUGUCAGAAAUUGGAGCUGAAGUUUCUCAAGGCAGCUGGCCAACCAGGUGACAGUUCUGGAUGCCAGAAUUCUUCAAUCCAGCUGUUGGCAAGACUGGUCCCUCCUGGAGGCUCUGAAGAAGAAUUUGUUCCAUGCUUUUAAGAAGUCUCUCUCCUAGCUUCUGAUGGCUACUGUGGCUGCAGAGUUCAAGUUGGGCCUUCCUUGGCUAUUUGCCAUCCCAAUGCCAAUUAGUGUACACAGAGCCUGGAUUCUUCUCCAGCCAGGAGGGGCAUGGUUACAGCCUGGCCUCAUCAUCAGAAGGUAUUUAUCGAGUGCCUGGCUACUUCAAGAGUUGAGCUAAUCACAGGGAAGAUUUGGUCUCAGUUCAGCUGCCUCAUUUGAUCAACUCAAGACUGAGUCCAACAAAAGUGGUCUGUCUAAUGAAACUCAUUUUCAUUUUUUCUCAUUAGUCUAUACACGACUGAGACUGUAAAAGGACAAAAGAAUAAAAAGAAAAAUGACAAUUAAAAAUCAUUUUCUCUGGCCCUUGA